rnacentral:rRNA from 1 species
UACGGGGGGGGCAAGCGUUGUUCGGAAUUACUGGGCGUAAAGAGCUCGUAGGCGGUCUGUCGCGUCGAAUGUGAAAACCCGGGGCUCAACCCCGGGCCUGCAUUCGAUACGGGCAGACUAGAGUUCGGUAGGGGAGUCUGGAAUUCCUGGUGUAGCGGUGAAAUGCGCAGAUAUCAGGAGGAACACCGGUGGCGAAGGCGGGACUCUGGGCCGAUACUGACGCUGAGGAGCGAAAGCGUGGGGAGCGAACAGG